rnacentral:lncRNA from 1 species
UUUAACACAUCAAACGAGACAAAAUAUAAGAAAGACCCACUUGAAGGUGAAUUCUAGUUAACUCCAUUUUUCUAUUUUUCUAGUUUGCAUUUAAUUGUGAAAUGUUUGUAUUUUUCUAGUCAACACCAAUUUUAAUUUACAAGUUUUUUCAAGCAUUUCUACUAAUUUCAACUUUUAUAAAACCUUUUGGAGUUUACUGAUUAGUUAUGCCACUUUGAACUUUUGGAAAUGGAUGUUCAUUUUCUCUUAGUGUCCUAGAAAAUAGUUUGGGAGGAGAUCUGCUUGUUGUUGUUUUCUUGACAAAUUUUGAAAGAGAUCUUAGUUUCCUACUUUCUCAAACUUAAGACCUUGUAAGGGUACAAGUACCAACUCACUUGACUAGGUAAUUACUAUUUAACAUAGAUUCAUCAUCUUUCCUUCCACAUAAUUAUAUCAUUUGCAUCAAUUGCUAAGGUUUAUUAAAGGCACCAAAUGCCAACAAUCACUUAGUUCCCCUAUUGCCAUGUAUGUUAUAAUCAAAACCUAUUUCAUUGUGAACAUAAUCAAACCUCUGUUAUCAGCAACAAAAAAGAAUUCAAGACUGGGGACUUAAGUAUAUAUAAGUUCAAGCACUUAUAAGAUGGACUACAUUUGUUAUCAUAACCUUUGCAAGAGUGUUAAUGCAGGACAUUUGUCAAAUUCAUUGAUUCCCUUCUCACGGAGAUCAUUUACUUGUUGCUGCUAUAUUUCUUGAGUGUGUUGCUUUCCAAAUUUCACAAAGAUCUGGUAAAGAUAGAAGUAUCAUUUCACUGCCUCACUAAACUAGGUAAUUUUUUUUAUAAAUUCAUUAUCUUGCCUUCAUCGUAAUUAUUUUGGUUCUUUGUUUUGUGUCAUGCUUUUAAUAAUUUUCUUUAAUUCAUGUUUCUGUUCUUUUUCCUUUUCUUUUAUUCUUUUAAUUAGGUAGAAAAUAAUUAUAGUAAGUGAAAAUUGAAAAUAAGUUAUGCUAUGAAUAUAAGUAUCAUGAAAUUUAUUUGAGUUUCUUUCUUAGGGUAUUCUCUAUCAUCUCCAUCAAGAUUUUUAAGACCUAAGGCUGUUGCAGAGGAAGUUGUUUUAAGAGAACUUACUGAGGGAAUUACUCUUUGUUUUCUACAACUUGCGAUUCUAAUGCUGGCUAUAUUAUUAAUUUAUUAUAAUAGAAGCAAAUUGAAUCUAUAUAUUAAUAGUUGUGAAAUAGUGUUAUAUAAUAAAGUAUAAACUUUACAUUGAGUAUAAAUGGGCAUUUUUUUUGGUUUAUUUUCUUAUUUGGGGUGUAGUUACAUAUAAACAAAAUUAGGUUGGAAGGAGAUAUAAAUGGUUUGUUUUAUUUAGCUUUUUAAGCAAGGAUAACCAUUCUUAGGAUCACACCAUCACCAAACCCUUAUGUUCCUUCUCAAAUCAAGGUUUCCAAGCAAAGGUUAGCAUCUAAAAGAUAAAUCUAGAUUUCAACCUCUUUAUAUCUUUGCAUUUGGGAUUCAAAUGUAUAGAAAAAAAAAGCUUGGAUUGCAUUGGUGAUUAAAGAAGCUGGCUUGAUAAUGAUGACUACCACUAGUCUCUUCUUAGUUGUUAACUUUUAUUUGUUAAUUAUGAUAUUUGAUUUUUGAAAUGUAUUGUGAUCAAUAUACUUACUUUCCUUUAGACACCCAACUGGAUUAAAAGAGUUGAAACAAUGAUUAAUAUUGUAACUUGCAGGGUACCAAGUAAUGCCUCUUCUGCAAUAUAUUCUUAUCCACAUGGU